ACCGGCGCACGGGUGAGUAUCGCGUUGCAACUACCUUUACUGGGAAUAGCCCGAAGAGAUCGGGAUUAAUACCCCAUAAUAUUUAAAGAUGGCAUCGUUUUUUAUUAAAGCUUUGGCGGUUAAGGAUGGGCAUGCGUGACAUUAGUUUGUUGGUGAGGUAACGGCUCAACCAAGAUUACGAUGUCUAGGGGGUCUGAGGAGGAUGAUCCCCCACACUGGUAUGAGACACGGGACCAGACUCCUACGGGAGGCAGCAGUGAGGAAAUAUUGGGCAAAUGGACGCAAAUUUGACCCAGCCAUGCCGCGUGCAGGAUGAGGGCGCUAUGCGUUGUAACUGCUUUUAUACAGGAAAAAUCCUCCUACGUGUAGGGGGUUGACUGUACUGUAGAAUAAGCAUCGGCUAACUCCGUGCCAGCAGCCGCGGUAAUACGGAGGAUGCAAGCGUUAUCCGGAUUCAUUGGGUUUAAAGGGUGCGCAGGCGGGGCAAUAGUCAGUGGUGAAAUCCUGCGGCUUAACCGUAGAACUGCCAUUGAUACUGUUGUCCUUGAGUAUAGUUGAGGUGGGCGGAAUAUGUAAUGUAGCGGUGAGAUGCGUAGAUAUUACAUAGAACACCGAUUGCGAAGGCAGCUCACUAAGCUAUCACUGACGCUGAGGCACGAAAGCGUGAGAGCGAACAGGAUUAGAUACCC
rnacentral:rRNA from 1 species